AUUGAACGCUGGCGGCAGGCCUAACACAUGCAAGUCGAGCGGUUGAGGUAGCUUGCUACCGAAGCAGCGGCGAACGGGUGAGUAAUGCAUGGGAAUCUGCCUGGUAGUGGGGGACAACGUUUCGAAAGGAACGCUAAUACCGCAUACGCCCUACGGGGGAAAGGGGGGGAUCUUCGGACCUCUCGCUAUCAGAUGAGCCCAUGUCAGAUUAGCUUGUUGGGGAGGUAAGGGCUCACCAAGGCGACGAUCUGUAACUGGUCUGAGAGGAUGAUCAGUCACACUGGAACUGAGACACGGUCCAGACUCCUACGGGAGGCAGCAGUGGGGAAUAUUGGACAAUGGGGGCAACCCUGAUCCAGCCAUGCCGCGUGUGUGAAGAAGGCCUUCGGGUUGUAAAGCACUUUCAGUGGGGAGAAAGGUCAUUCACCUAAUACGUGAGUGAAUUGAUGUUACCCACAGAAGAAGCACCGGCUAACUCCGUGCCAGCAGCCGCCGUAA
rnacentral:rRNA from 1 species